CAACUGCACAUCGACCUUGAUUGGUGGGACCAAGAGACUCUCUCUCUCGCACACUCUCACUCUCUCAUACACACACACACACACACACACACACACAUGCAAUUACAUGGGCUAAAAACACUUAAUUAGCAGUCCGCAAAAUGCUAACUUUGUAGAGGUGCAGGGACUUUUUGAAACCUUUGCACCUCCAACAUGAUGGAUUAAGCAUGUGCGUGCACACAUAAACAAUCAGGCAUGAUGGAAAAGUUCACCCUGUUCGUUUGCGAUAACGCUUUUCUACUUAAGACUCUGCAAUAACGGGGUUGCGGGAAAUUAAUGUUGACAGGCCAAGCUCUUUGCAGCACUAAUGGUUGUGUGCAUGUGUGUGUGUGUAUUGUGUGCACCUCCAUCACCUGACCUGCUGCUACAGCUUGCUUGCUUGCUUCUUCCACCGUAAACACACAGCCAUAGCAACGUGCAAAGGCGGUGGGAGACAGGUAAACACUACACAGGUAAAGUCUCAGGAGAGAGAGAACAAAUGAAAAAGAGCACAUGAGAGACAUGGUAGAGAAGUGUAAUUGCUGGAGCGUGUUGGAUAGGUGCAGCAGUGUGUUCUGUUUAGCAGAGAGCAAACCACCGCCUUGUUGCUAGAAGCGCCAUCUUAUAACCGAAUAUUACACACUGUACAAACGAUGAGCUGUGUGGUUCAUGCACAAUCAUGGAGUAUGCACACUGAACAUGUCGUCAGCUGAAUACAACAGAAAUGCAGGUGUUAAUGAAAACGCUGUGUGUUUAGCCUGCUAUUUUAGCACCCAAUUAAAGGUUCUGCUCAUUAAAUCCCAUGACAACUCCUUUCCUCACUGCAGCUCAGUUCACUAUAGUGUGUUUUAUGCUAAAAUCCAGUUUGCCAAACCUAAACAAACUAUUUUUGCCUCAAUUCAAUUCGAUUUUAUUUGUACAGCACUUUUAACAACAGACAUUGUCUCAAAGCAACUUUACAGAAACAUAUAAACGCAGGAUACAGAUUUUAAGUGUGAAUUGAUCCCUAUUGAGCGAGCCGGUGAUGACGGUGGUGAGGAAAAACUCCCUAAGAUGAUAUGAGGAAGAAACCUUGAGAGGAACCGGACUCAGAAGGGAACCCGUCCUCAUCUGGGUAACAACGGAUAGUGUGAAAGUAAAAGAAAGUUCAUUAUGGUCUGUUUGUUGAACUAGUCCACUGUUCACUAAAGGAGACCCGAGUGCAAAACUGCAUGUGGUAAUUGCAGUCCCAAGGCCAUCACAGCAACCGUAGUCCCAGCAACCACAGCGAAAAUGUCCAUGUGGAAUUGAGGUCCAAAACCAUUUCCAUGGUACUUCAAGCGGCACCGUCCUCAGCGAUCUCCAGGCACUGUUUGGGGUCGUCCUCAAAGGCAGAAUGUAGCCACAGAUGUAGUGGAUGAGAGAGGCGUUCAAAUGGGUCGCAAGAGUUCGAGUGUGUUUUCUAGGAAGAGCUAUGAGAAUUGGAGAAAGGUGGACUUUGGACUUGCUCAUGAGAGCAGUUUGUGUCUACACAAUGGUGCGGACUUUUCCAUCCCUUCACAUGAGACACAGGGUCACGGGGAGCCUAUCCCAGGGAACUUGGGGCACGAGGUGGGGGACAGCCUGGAGGGGGUGCCAACCCACUGGAGGACACAAUCACACACACAUUCACACUCUAUGGACAAUUUGGAAAUGCCAAUCUGCCUACAACGCAUGUCUUUGGACUUGGGAGGAAACUAGAGUACAUGCCAUGGCCAUCCCAGUCCCAUGACUGAGAAAACCUGUAGGGUGAACUGAAGAGGAGAGUCCACCAGCGUGGACCUCGAAAUUUGAAGGAUCUGGAGAGAUUCUGUAUGGAGUCACGGUCUCAGAUCCCUUCGCCAUGUAUUCUCCAACCUCAUCAGGCUUUAUAGGAGAAGACUCAGAACUUUUAUCUUGGCAAAGGGAGGUAGCACAAAGUAUUGACUAAAAGGGUGCCAAUAAUUGUGGUACACAUAUAUUUCACAAUUAUCAAAAGGUUAAACAAUAAAGAUAAUUUUUCACAGCUUUCUUUGUUCAUAUUUACCAAGGGUGCUAAUAUUAGUGGAGGGCACUGUAAAUAUUAUA